CGCCUGAACAUGACGUCACGACACUUUUAAAAGCCGCUCGUUUUCUUCGUCACAUCCUCUUUCCGUUGCUCUUCUCGCUUUGAGAAACCUCUCCACACGAUGAGAGCCAAGUGGAGGAAGAAGCGUAUGCGCAGGCUGAAGCGUAAAAGGAGAAAGAUGAGGCAGAGGUCAAAGUAAGCCCCCCCUCCUGCCUGCCAGCUGUGAUCACGUCUGAGCCUCUCCAGGUGACUGACAUGCGGACGAAGGGGGAUUGCUCGGCGGUUCCAUCAACGAAAUUAAAGGCCUAAACCCCCGAUUUCAGAUGACCACGCUUUUCACGGAGCCUGCUGUGACGGUCUGACUGGAAGAUGGUGAAGAUGCUGGAGAAGAACAUGACUGCAGCUGCGUUGUUCAUGGACCAUAAUGCAUCUUGUUUCUGUACAAUUGUUUGUGGUGUUUUGAACAAUAAAUGAACACUGUUAAAUUACCA